UACAGAGGGGGCAAGCGUUGUUCGGAAUUACUGGGCGUAAAGGGCGCGUAGGCGGCCUGCUAAGUCGAACGUGAAAUCCCCGGGCUCAACCCGGGAACUGCGUCCGAUACUGGCAGGCUUGAAUCCGGGAGAGGGAUGCGGAAUUCCAGGUGUAGCGGUGAAAUGCGUAGAUAUCUGGAGGAACACCGGUGGCGAAGGCGGCAUCCUGGACCGGCAUUGACGCUGAGGCGCGAAAGCCAGGGGGAGCAAACGGG
rnacentral:rRNA from 1 species